CUCUGCAGAACCAGACCGGCACUGAGGCUCCCCUGCACCCUGCACCCCGCAGCUCCUGGGCCGCUGGGGGGAAGGGGCUGAGGCUGUGGCCCCGGGGUCCUGGGUGGUGGAGGCCUUUCCCACCCCGUGGGAGGGCAAGGAGGGGGCAGGUGUGGGGAAGGACGUCACCACUUUCACCCUCUUGUCCGGGCCCUGGGCACCCGGGGAUUAUGCUCAGUUCCCGGUGCCCCUGCCCCCCGCUGCGGAGCCGGCUCACCUGAUUCGGAAAGCUUCAGCUCGCAGUCCAAGUAAUCGAACAUCUCCACGGGAACCUGCCCCUCGUCCAAGAAAAACCAGCCAUUUGUGCUCCAGUGAAAAAACAGCUGCCUCGUGGCAGGAGCAAUGCUAACAGCCAGCCUGGGGGUGCCAGGGAGCCUGCACCCCACUCCAGCGCCUCCUGCCACCACACAGAGGCACCUCAUUUCUCAGCUCACGGGGACGACAGCCCAGGCCGGGGUGACUUCCGGAGCCCAAGAACCCACUGGUUAUGCGUCUGGCCCUUCCUGACCAGCCUUUGGAGCAAGGCUGCAGCCCCAGCUCACUGAAGCCCAGGGCCCCCAGGGGUCUGCUCUGACAGGACCUUGUGGAGGACAUGGCAGAACUUCCAGCUGAGGAUGGAGCUGCUGGGGAGCGGCAGGCCGAUGGCAUAGGACCAGAAGGUGAAGGCGCCCUUCUCAUGAGGCGUCUCUGAUGCUUCCUCUCCUGAGGACCUUCCCUGACGCAGCCGCUCCCCCCUUCGCCCCCAUGGAAAGUUCCGGCACCCGGUGUCUCCCCGCCUCACUGCCCUAGAAGCCUGGCCCAGCCCUGCGGCUACUGGUGAAAACGUUUUAUUUCUCCACCUGGGGGCAGGUCCAGGAACCCCUUGACAUGACGGUGCUUGUGGA